CUCACUUAUCUCUCUCAAUUGAUCGAGCACUCAUAUGUUCUUCUCUCAAAGGCCAAGAUUGGUGGUUUUUAGUCCAAAAAUUGAAGAACAGAUGCGGGAAUUGCUAAACGUGAAGGAGACCUCUGAGGAAUUGCUAAAAAAUGAAGGCCCACCUCCUGUCUAUCUCCCAAGAAUUGCAAAACGUGAAGGGGCUUAGGUUUUCUUGUUGUAAGAAAACCUCAGAGCAACUUCAAUACUUCAUCCAUUUGCUUCAAAUACUGUUAGAUCUAUAUUUUGGUGCCAUUUUGAAAAUUGAGUUCCAACCAUUCUCUAGACUCUGUGAAGGUAAAUUAUGUGGGUUUGUGCUUAACAUCAAAGAUUGUAGUUUUCGAUUGGUUGAGGUUUAAGCUAACAACCUAUGAUUUUCAUCUUGUUUCCUGGUUGGUUGAGGUUAACUUCUCUGCUUUUCCUAGUUGGUUCAAGCCCCUGUUUUCAUAUGCAAUCAGUAAAUUUCUCCAUCUAAUCUAAUCUUCCCUUUUUGUGCAGCUCAGCUACUCUAAAUCUGUUGAUGGCAUUUGCAACUGGAGGAUAUGCUGCUAUGUAGAGGGUUACACAGUUGAACCUGGAUUUCACAGAGCACAGCAAACAAGGUGAUAGAUACCGUGAUCUAGCUCACCAUGUAGACGAGACUCUUGGAUUUAUGACUGCUGCUGGACUUCCAAUUGACCAUAUCAACGGUGCUUGCUUCUACCGUAUCAAUGGUCUAUUACUAAAUUGGAUUCCACAUCUGGCUUGUACUGCGAUUGUUAAGCCCAUUUCCUUUGGUUCGAUGGUUCUCAUGUUGAAACACCAUCAAAGCUCCUUGUGGUCUAAAGACUCUGCCUUUUGAUGCUACAGGGCGGAAGUAACAGCAUUCUUUGAUGUCCAUAAGCAGGAAGGCAGCCACCCUGGGAGGAGUCCAUCUACAGAUGCCUGGCCAAAAUGUGACAGAAUGCAUUGGUGGAUUGCGUACUAUGACCCUUUGAUGAACUAAGCUCGCGCUACCACACACAUUGUGAUCCUAGGCUUAAUGCUUCUCAAUCACUUGAACUUGCAUUUAUCAUGGCUGAGCGACUGAGAAAGAGGCGGCUUGGAUCCCAAAAGUCAAUAGCAUUUUAGAUAUUCUAGAAUGAUUUUGAGGGCGUCAAUUAUGUCUGUACCGUUCUGCAUCAUAUGCUUCUCUGUAUCAAUUUAUACAACAUGUUUGUUUCUCUAUUUAUAAAUAUACCAUGUAUUACUCUGUCAA